GGAGCGGCAGACGGGUGAGUAACGCGUGGGGAUCUGCCCGAUGGUACGGAAUAAUUCCGGGAAACUGGGACUAAUACCGUAUGUGCCCGCAAGGGGAAAGAUUUAUCGCCAUUGGAUGAACCCGCGUCGGAUUAGCUAGUUGGUGUGGUAAAGGCGCACCAAGGCGACGAUCCGUAGCUGGUCUGAGAGGAUGAUCAGCCACACUGGGACUGAGACACGGCCCAGACUCCUACGGGAGGCAGCAGUGGGGAAUAUUGGACAAUGGGCGCAAGCCUGAUCCAGCCAUGCCGCGUGAGUGAUGAAGGCCUUAGGGUUGUAAAGCUCUUUCGCCGGUGAAGAUAAUGACGGUAACCGGAGAAGAAGCCCCGGCUAACUUCGUGCCAGCAGCCGCGGUAAUACGAAGGGGGCAAGCGUUGCUCGGAAUCACUGGGCGUAAAGCGCACGUAGGCGGGUCGUUAAGUCAGAGGUGAAAGCCUGGAGCUCAACUCCAGAACUGCCUUUGAUACUGGCGACCUAGAGUUCGAGAGAGGUUGGUGGAACUGCGAGUGUAGAGGUGAAAUUCGUAGAUAU
rnacentral:rRNA from 1 species